rnacentral:lncRNA from 11 species
AAAAAAGCCACAUAGAAUGUCUCUCAUAUUAACCAAUGGAACUUCCAUUUAGGGAUUUCUUCCCAGCCCAGCGCUGUGCUGAAAACGAAACUAACUUUGGGAGGCCGCCGAGGUUUACAGAAUUCAAACAAAAAAGUAUUGGAAAAACAUCAAGAUGACCACAAAACAGUCUCAGGUGAGUGUUGCUUUCCCGUUGCAUCUUUACUCCAAAUGACUGAGGGAGGAAUGGGAAUGAGAUGGUUGAACUGAGACAUGUACAUACAUCUAUAUGUCCAAGAGUUUAGGCCAAGGACAG